rnacentral:rRNA from 1 species
UACGUAGGGGGCAAGCGUUGUCCGGAAUCAUUGGGCGUAAAGAGCGUGUAGGCGGCCCGAUAAGUCCGCCGUGAAAGUCCAGGGCUCAACCCUCGAAUGCCGGUGGAUACUGUCGGGCUAGAGUGCGGAAGAGGCGAGUGGAAUUCCUGGUGUAGCGGUGAAAUGCGCAGAUAUCAGGAGGAACACCGAUUGCGAAGGCAGCUCGCUGGGACGUCACUGACGCUGAGACGCGAAAGCGUGGGGAGCAAACAGG